rnacentral:rRNA from 1 species
GACGAACGCUGGCGGCGUGCUUAACACAUGCAAGUCGAACGGAAAGGCCUCUUUCGGGGGGUACUCGAGUGGCGAACGGGUGAGUAACACGUGAGUAACCUGCCCUUGACUUUGGGAUAACUUCAGGAAACUGGGGCUAAUACCGGAUAGGAGCUCCUGCUGCAUGGUGGGGGUUGGAAAGUUUCGGCGGUUGGGGAUGGACUCGCGGCUUAUCAGCUUGUUGGUGGGGUAGUGGCUUACCAAGGCUUUGACGGGUAGCCGGCCUGAGAGGGUGACCGGCCCCCUGGGGGCUGGGGUAGGCCCCAGCCUCCACUGGGGGGCAAUGGUGGGAAAUUUUGACCAGUGGGGGGGAGCCGGUGGAGAACACCCUGUGGGGGGAAAGCCGUCCUUCUGGUUUAAAACCGCUUCCGCUUAAUACCAAGCUUUUUUGACGGGACGUGGAGAAAAAACCCCCGCUAACUUCGUG